rnacentral:rRNA from 1 species
ACUCAAAUGAAUUGACGGGGGCCCGCACAAGCGGUGGAGCAUGUGGUUCAAUUCGACGCAACGCGCAGAACCUUACCUGGGUUGGAACCCCCUGGAAGUCCGCAGAGAUGUGGAUGUGCUCGCAAGAGAACCAGGUGUCCAGGUGCUGCAUGGCUGUCGUCAGCUCGUGUCGUGAGAUGUUGGGUUAAGUCCCGCAACGAGCGCAACCCUCGUCGUUAGUUGCUAACAGUUCGGCUGAGCACUCUAGCGAGACUGCCGGUGUUAAACCGGAGGAAGGUGGGGAUGACGUCAAGUCCUCAUGGCCCUUAUGCCCAGGGCUACACACGUGCUACAAUGGCCGGUACAGAGCGUAGCGAACUCGUGAGGGGGAGCCAAUCGCAAAAAACCGGCCUCAGUUCAGAUUGCAGUCUGCAACUCGACUGCAUGAAGUUGGAAUCGCUAGUAAUCCCUAAUCAGCAGGUAGGGGUGAAUACGUUCCCGGGCCUUGUACACACCGCCCGU